rnacentral:misc_RNA from 1 species
UCCCCGUUACCGAGGCAGUCUGGCUAGAAAAAUACAACUAACCAUAAGGGUUGCGCUCGUUGAUGGACUUAACCAAACAUCUCACGACACGAGCUGACGACGGCCAUGCAUCACCUGUCACUUGGUUCAAUAAAGCACUCUCUACUUUCGUAGAAAUUCCAAGGAUGUCAAACCCUGGUAAGGUUCUAGGCUUAUCAUCCGAUUAAUCAACAUGAUCCUCCGCUUGUGCGGGUCCCCGUCAAUUCCUUUGAGUUUUAAUCUUGCGACCGUACUCCUCAGGCGGGAUGCUUAACGCGUUAACUGCGCUACUGACCGGGUCGAUACGGCCAACAGCUAGCAUCCAUAGUUUACGGCGUGGACUAC